GCCAGACUCCUACGGGAGGCAGCAGUGAGGAAUAUUGGUCAAUGGGCGCGAGCCUGAACCAGCCAAGUAGCGUGAAGGAUGACUGCCCUACGGGUUGUAAACUUCUUUUAUAAAGGAAUAAAGUGAGGCACGUGUGCCUUUUUGUAUGUACUUUAUGAAUAAGGAUCGGCUAACUCCGUGCCAGCAGCCGCGGUAAUACGGAGGAUCCGAGCGUUAUCCGGAUUUAUUGGGUUUAAAGGGUGCGUAGGCGGAAUAUCAAGUCAGCGGUAAAAAUUCGGGGCUCAACCCCGUCGUGCCGUUGAAACUGAUGUUCUUGAGUGGGCGAGAAGUAUGCGGAAUGCGCGGUGUAGCGGUGAAAUGCAUAGAUAUCGCGCAGAACUCCGAUUGCGAAGGCAGCAUGCCGGCUCCACACUGACGCUGAGGCACGAAAGCGUGGGUAUCGAACAGGAUUAGAUACCCCAGUAAUA
rnacentral:rRNA from 1 species